rnacentral:rRNA from 1 species
GAGUUUGAUCGUGGCUCAGAUUGAACGCUGGCGGAAUGCUUUACACAUGCAAGUCGAGCGGCAGCGCGGGGCAACCUGGCGGCGAGCGGCGAACGGGUGAGUAAUGCAUCGGAACAUGUCCAUGUCGUGGGGGAUAGCCCGGCGAAAGCCGGAUUAAUACCGCAUACGCCCGAGAGGGGAAAGUGGGGGACCGCAAGGCCUCACGCGAUUGGGUUGGCCGAUGUCCGAUUAGCUAGUUGGUGGGGUAAAGGCCUACCAAGGCGAUGAUCGGUAGCUGGUCUGAGAGGAUGAUCAGCCACACUGGGACUGAGACACGGCCCAGACUCCUACGGGAGGCAGCAGUGGGGAAUUUUGGACAAUGGGGGAAACCCUGAUCCAGCCAUUCCGCGUGAGUGAAGAAGGCCUUCGGUUG